rnacentral:lncRNA from 1 species
UCUCAGAACUAAGGUUUAUUUCUGCUACAGGAGAAGAGGUUAUUUCAUUCUGUUAGACCAUUCAAUCAGUACAGCUUGCUGUAAACAGGAAAUAAUAUUUUAUUUAGCAUAGUAAGAUGAAAAUUCUAUUUGAGAGAAAUGACUUGUUGGGUCUUUGACAACACCUCAGUUUCCCUUUUCAUUUACCUCACAAGAAUGCUAUGGAAUUACUAUUUAGAUUUCUUUUUAGAAGUCCCAAAUGCAGGUCAUCUCUAUAUUUUCUUUUGAGUGCUACAACUAGGCUGUCCAGGGAAGCAGAGAUUUAUUCUUGUACAUCAGUCAUGUGCAAUGUUAACUUACCAUUAUCAGCCCCAUCCAUGUUAAUCUUGUCACAAACAUGAGAUGGGGAAACACACGGCUCAGCAUAAGAAGUAAAUGAAAACAAUGAACACUUACUUAUUAAGCCUUUCCUUAUGCUUUGUUAAUUAACUAUAAUGUGAUAACUAUUAAUUCACUAAGCAUGAUAAAUUAGAAGAAAAUGGUCAGGAUGCUGAAGAAAAUAUUUCAUGUGAAAUCUAUCACACACAUAGUGAAGAUCUCAGCCAUAAAAGUAGAUGUACUUUUUUCUAUUUUUCUUUACCUCCAUGGAAUUUGCAAAUAUCUUUUAAGCUCUAAAUAGCUAAUUCAAUACAAUACAUACUUAAUCUAUUCUGUU